rnacentral:rRNA from 1 species
UACAGAGGGUGCGAGCGUUGUCCGGAAUCACUGGGCGUAAAGGGCGCGUAGGCGGCUUGAUAAGCGUGCGGUGAAAGCCCGGGGCUCAACCCCGGGUCGGCCGUGCGAACUGUAGAGCUGGAGCACUGUAGAGGCAGGUGGAAUUCCGGGUGUAGCGGUGGAAUGCGUAGAGAUCCGGAAGAACACCGGUGGCGAAGGCGGCCUGCUGGGCAGUUGCUGACGCUGAGGCGCGACAGCGUGGGGAGCAAACAGG